rnacentral:lncRNA from 1 species
GAAGGAUGUGUUUGCUUCUCCUUCCACCAUGAUUGUAAGUUUCCUGAGGCCUCCCCAGCCAUGCUCAACUGCUGUUCUGAUCAUGAUCAAGCCCAAGACAGAGCGAUGGGCGUGGCUUCCCCAAAGGUGUUUAUGAAUCCAAAAUCUGAGAGAGAGAAGACAAGAUGAAGUCACAGUCUAGUCAUUGCCUCAACACCAGUCAUUCCUACUCCCACCCAGACAACAUCAUCUCCACUCCCAAGCCCGAAAUGCUCCCUGCCAUGCCUUCGAGGCUGAGGUCUGGGAAGAAAACUCUAAGAAGAGAGAAAAGGGCACCAGUAUGGAGACCCUAGAAUAUAAAAAGCAGACUUAGCCUGUCUAACCUGUUCCUUGACUUGGCCAUGAUCCCAGGAAUGGAGGAAGGAUCUUCCUUUUCUUCCUCCUCCUGGAGAGGCAUCAGAGCAUGGGCCCUGGCUCUGUUACUCCCUGGCUGGGGAAGUUACUUACCUACUCCGUGUCUCAGUUUUACUUAUCUCUAAAAGGGGUAGAGUAACAGCACUCACUGGAGUGGAGUGUGGUUAUGCCUCCCAGCCUCUCCUUCAGAACUAGGUUACUUAUUCCCUCAGCUGCAAGGAGUGUUAGCUGCGGACUGCUCACAACGGAGUCUCUUCUAGGGAUUGCCCUCAACCGAAGGAAGCUGCAUUGCCCAAGAUGAGAUCCCCUCGCUGGGGCAUCCUGCAUCCAAUGACAAGUCAGUGGGGCGUACGAAGGCCUGGCUUCCUCAUCUCGAUUGGACAUCUCCAAAGGGCCAUCCCAGUUUCUGAUCUCCCCGUAGAAUCUCCUGAAGCCUCUGUUGUGACUGCAUCAGAGCCCAACCUCUCUCUCUACCCAAUCCAGUCUCCUUUCCUUCUCACAGGUGUUGUUCCCAAAACUCAGUAAACUGCCUACACGCAAAAAAAAAAAAAAAAA